AUUCUUACUUCAGACACUAGUCCCACUUCUUUGGUUAUCUGUAUUCUGAGUCCACAAAUCAGAGGCAUCCAGUUGAAAAAGCUGAAAGCUUCUAGAAUGGCACUAUCCAAUAUGGUAGCCAGUGGCCCCCUGUGGCUACUGUGCACUUAAAAUGUGGCCAGUCCUAACUGCAACGUGCUGGCUAGGGGUAAGAAUGCAGCAGUGAACAUGGUUCCUGCACUCAUGAAGCAAAUGUAUCCACUGUGGUACAAAAGAGACUGUAAAAAACAAACCCAAAUGGACAACAGAGUUCUGAACCAUCCUGUGACAAGUCUAGUUACCCUAAAGCUGUCAUGCAGGAGAGACCAUGUGGAGAGAAGGAGAGUUAGAGAGAGGAGGAGCCCCUGCUGUUUGAGUAUUCUCAGCCCAGACACCAGACAUGAGUGAGGAAGCAUUCAGACCCCAACUCCAGUUUAAAAACGCCACCACUCAACAGCCUGUUUUCUGAGCCUAUGACCACAUAUAUGCUGCAGAACCCUUUCAGGGUGUAUCUGAAACUACUUCUCUUAAAGGCAAGCUGUAACUGGUGCCAGAAAAGACAGAAGCUGAUUGAGGUCCCAGCUUGGUAACAGUUUGAAGAGUUGCAGGACUGGCUGGAUGAGUACUGGCUGCAGCAAAUCAGGCUGCCAGGAUUCUUUAUGGCUGUUUCUGCUUCCACUACAGCUGAGUCAGAAAGGUCGCUGCCCCGUGGUGGCACUAGACGCAG
rnacentral:lncRNA from 10 species